AUAGCAACAGCAGGGUAGCUGAACAUCUUACGGAUGGCCCAGGGCUCCAAAGGCUUGUUUCCUAAGUGAGAGAGAGCCCGGCUGAAGCUCUAUUACCAUUCAUUCUCUAGCCUCCGAAGUCUCAAAGCAUCACUUCCACCAUACUCUAAUUGUCAAGACAAACACAAAGUCCUAGAAACUGCCAGACUGUCUUCCGAAGUGGCUAUAAUAUUUACACUCCCAUCAGCAGUGUAGAUGGGGGUCUCACUACGUUGUCUGGAGUGCAGUGGCUAGAGUGGAGUGGCUAUUCACAGCUGAGUUUGCAGAGUAAACCACUACCCUGAAAUCUGGAGAGGCAGGUGCACCCAUAGAGUCUCAGCUGAGAUCCAAUUACCUGAAAUAGAAGCUGCCAUUAGGAACACUUAAAUGUGCCACACUAUCGGGGCUCCAGAAUAACACCGGAUACAGCUAAAGGAGCUGCAAUACACAGACUGAGGGUAAUGAAAGCCCAAAGUCACGAGUGGACACAAAAGCCAGUUCUGCUGCGACACAGAAUCACUUGCUCCAUCUAAUACAUUGAUGAUGAUUAAUUUGUAUGUGUACCUUCCAAAAAAGAUGGUCGUGUUUGAACGGAGGCCUUCUGGACAGGAAAAUAUGGAGAGUGCAUGCUUUGGAUUCAAGAC
rnacentral:lncRNA from 1 species